rnacentral:misc_RNA from 1 species
UCCCUCUCAAACUUUACGUUUGGUAGUGAGCGAUACUCUACUCUUGAGUUUGCUUGAAAAUGGGAGGCCAUAGGCGAAGCAUUGCUUUCCAAUCCUGCGGCCCUCUGCUUACUUCCCCUUGUGGGUUGUGGCAGGGGAAAGCGGGAGGCGCCUUGCCACGAUAGUCGUAUUAGGUUUUACCGACUCGGCGAAAGUGAAGAGGUUUGCUUUUUAAGGAGCAGGCAGCGUCUGGCUUGACAAAAUUCUCAAAGUUUGACCUCAAAUCAGGUAGGAUUACCCGCUGAACUUAAG